rnacentral:rRNA from 1 species
CCUACGGGCGGCUGCAGUGGGGAAUAUUGGACAAUGGGCGAAAGCCUGAUCCAGCCAUGCCGCGUGUGUGAAGAAGGCCUUCGGGUUGUAAAGCACUUUCAGUGGGGAAGAAAGCCUUGGGGCUAAUACCCUCGAGGAAGGACAUCACCCACAGAAGAAGCACCGGCUAACUCCGUGCCAGCAGCCGCGGUAAUACGGAGGGUGCGAGCGUUAAUUGGAAUUACUGGGCGUAAAGCGCGCGUAGGCGGUCUGAUAAGCCGGUUGUGAAAGCCCCGGGCUCAACCUGGGAACGGCAUCCGGAACUGUCAGGCUAGAGUGCAGGAGAGGAAGGUAGAAUUCCCGGUGUAGCGGUGAAAUGCGUAGAGAUCGGGAGGAAUACCAGUGGCGAAGGCGGCCUUCUGGACUGACACUGACGCUGAGGUGCGAAAGCGUGGGUAGCAAACAGGAUUAGAUACCCUUGUAGUC